rnacentral:rRNA from 1 species
AGCGAAACGGGAAGAGCCCAAACCAACAAGCUUGCUUGUUGGGGUUGUAGGACACUCUAUACGGAGUUACAAAGGACGACAUUAGACGAAUCAUCUGGAAAGAUGAAUCAAAGAAGGUAAUAAUCCUGUAGUCGAAAAUGUUGUCUCUCUUGAGUGGAUCCUGAGUACGACGGAGCACGUGAAAUUCCGUCGGAAUCUGGGAGGACCAUCUCCUAAGGCUAAAUACUCUCUAGUGACCGAUAGUGAACCAGUACCGUGAGGGAAAGGUGAAAAGCACCCCGGAAGGGGAGUGAAAUAGAACCUGAAACCGUGUGCUUACAAGUAGUCAGAGCCCGUUAAUGGGUGAUGGCGUGCCUUUUGUAGAAUGAACCGGCGAGUUACGAUUUGAUGCAAGGUUAAGCAGUAAAUGUGGAGCCGUAGCGAAAGCGAGUCUGAAUAGGGCGUUUAGUAUUUGGUCGUAGACCCGAAACCAGGUGAUCUACCCUUGGUCAGGUUGAAGUUCAGGUAACACUGAAUGGAGGACCGAACCGACUUACGUUGAAAAGUGAGCGGAUGAACUGAGGGUAGCGGAGAAAUUCCAAUCGAACCUGGAGAUAGCUGGUUCUCUCCGAAAUAGCUUUAGGGCUAGCCUCAAGUGAUGAUUAUUGGAGGUAGAGCACUGUUUGGACGAGGGGCCCCUCUCGGGUUACCGAAUUCAGACAAACUCCGAAUGCCAAUUAAUUUAACUUGGGAGUCAGAACAUGGGUGAUAAGGUCCGUGUUCGAAAGGGAAACAGCCCAGACCACCAGCUAAGGUCCCAAAAUAUAUGUUAAGUGGAAAAGGAUGUGGCGUUGCCCAGACAACUAGGAUGUUGGCUUAGAAGCAGCCAUCAUUUAAAGAGUGCGUAAUAGCUCACUAGUCGAGUGACACUGCGCCGAAAAUGUACCGGGGCUAAACAUAUUACCGAAGCUGUGGAUUGUCCUUUGGACAAUGGUAGGAGAGCGUUCUAAGGGCGUUGAAGCAUGAUCGUAAGGACAUGUGGAGCGCUUAGAAGUGAGAAUGCCGGUGUGAGUAGCGAAAGACGGGUGAGAAUCCCGUCCACCGAUUGACUAAGGUUUCCAGAGGAAGGCUCGUCCGCUCUGGGUUAGUCGGGUCCUAAGCUGAGGCCGACAGGCGUAGGCGAUGGAUAACAGGUUGAUAUUCCUGUACCACCUAUAAUCGUUUUAAUCGAUGGGGGGACGCAGUAGGAUAGGCGAAGCGUGCGAUUGGAUUGCACGUCUAAGCAGUAAGGCUGAGUAUUAGGCAAAUCCGGUACUCGUUAAGGCU